AAUUUUGUCCCAUACAUAAUCACUAUACAUAGCUACAUAUUAUAUUUAUAUUUCAUUACAAUUAAACUCUUUGUUCGUAAGGAUGAAAAUGAAGUCUUUUAUUUUUGUGUUCUUUCUUUGUGCAUUAAUUCUUAUCUCUAUUACUGCGGAAAUUGAACCAACCAAAAAUGGAAAACAAUCUCGAGCUACAAAAGAAUUCAAAAUAGUUGAUGGAGGCUUGAGAUACGGCGGUGAACUUGUAAAAUCACGGAGGCCGCGGACCAAAAAACAAAAAAGAGGUAAAAAUAAAAGUCAAAACAAAGGUAAACCGAAAAUACAAGAAACUACUCAAAAUAAUACACUUUCAGAAAGUUGGGAUAGUCGAGGACGAAGAGGGGGAAGUCGGGGACAAAAAGCGAGAGCUAAGGGACGUCAGACCUAAAUAAAAGAAUUUUAGACAUUAGUAAAUAUCAGACUUAUAUAUGAGUAUAUUAAUGUAUUUGAUACAUUAUAUCACAUAAAAGCAUGAAAUCUAUGUUACUCCAUGCCUAAUCCAUAAAUAAAAGGAUGAAUAUCUUUCCUUAAUUACUA